rnacentral:tRNA from 1 species
GUAGCUCAAUGGGAGGGCAGUUGUCUGAUACAGAAUCGGUUGAGGGUUUGAGCCCCUUCGCCA